rnacentral:rRNA from 1 species
AGGGUUUGAUCAUGGCUCAGAACGAACGCUGGCGGCAGGCUUCAUACAUGCAAGUCGAACGAUUAAAGCUUUCUUCGGAGAGUGUAUAAAGUGGCGAACGGGUGAGUAACAGGUGGAUAAUCUACCUCUCAGUGGGGAAUACCAGUUGGAAACGGCUGCUAAUACCGCAUGCGAUUGUGACUUCUUCGGAAGAUGCAAGGAAAGGGCCUUUUGGCUCGCUGAGAGAUGAGUCCGCCCCCCAUUAGGUAGUUGGUGUGAUAAAAGCGCACCAAGCCAUUGAUGGGUAGCCGGACUGAGAGGUUGGCCGGCCACACUGGAACUGAGACACGGUCCAGACACCUACGGGUGGCAGCAGUAGGGAAUAUUGCGCAAUGAACGAAAGUUUGACGCAGCCAUGCCGCGUGGACGAUGAAGGCCUUCGGGUCGUAAAGUCCUUUUAUCAGGGAAGAACAAGUGGAGGAGUAAAAUGCCUCCGCCCUGACGGUACCUGAUGAAUAAGCAACGGCUAACUCCGUGCCAGCAGCCGCGGUAAUACGGAGGUUGCAAGCGUUGUUCGGAAUUACUGGGCGUAAAGGGAGCGCAGGCGGAUUGGUCAGUUUGAAGUGAAAGUUCGGGGCUUAACCCCGGAUCUGCUUUGAAUACUGCCAAUCUUGAGUAUGUGAGAGGUAA